rnacentral:lncRNA from 1 species
AUUCUCACUCCUCGGUAAACCGGGUGUCGAGUCUCUCUAAACUUCUUCCUUCCGGCCCUCUUCUUCGGGUUUCGUGAAGCCAACAUCACUUCGGAUUCAGCAGCCGCAUUCAAGACUGAGCUUUUGCUACGACAUGAGGUCAAAAAGUGUGCUAAUGGAACACUUUCUGAUGAUACUGAUGGAAAUGGAUUGUACGAUUCGAUAAAGGCAUCCAUAAAUAUGUGAGGUGAAGUUACGGUUUGUUGGUAGUUUUUGCAAGUUAGAUAUAAGUUAUGACUUUUGAGAGAAGUAAUUGUUUGUUGGGAGUGUUUGUGAGUGACUUUAACUUGUUGAUAUGAGAAUGGCGAUGUAUAUAUAGAUAUUUGUGGAUUCUCUGUGGUGGGGUUACCAGCUGGUGGUUUGCGUGGUAGAGGAUGGAGGCUUUGACAAGUGGCUUCAUUUUUUAUUUACUUUGAACGCGUGAUAUUUGGGAGGAUAGAUUAAGAAUUGUCCCUAUAGUAUUGAGUAAUAUACAGCUUCAGUCCAAUAGAUUCGAAGGUUGUAGUUGAUGUACAAAAUAGUUUUGUGUAAAAGCAUGCCUAAUUUUAUAUACCGUCUACAUUAAUAUAUAAAGGGCGUGUUUGGCAUGGAGCUUUUGGAAGCGUUUGGGAGCUUCUAGCUUUUAGCUUUUGACAAAACGCUCUAGUUUAAACAAAAAGUUUCGUUUGGCAAUACGAACGUUUAGUUUUUAGUUUUAACAAAACGCUCCGAUUCUAAAAGCUACUUCAUGUAGCUUUUAAUAAAACGCUUCGGAGCUUUUGAAAUCAAUUUCCAUAAUUACCCUUAAAAAUAUAUUUAUAUAUUUUUUUAUUUUUAAUCAAUUGUCCUUUUAUGUAAUUUUAUAUAUUUCAAAAGCUUCCAGCUACUUUUGCCAAACAUUCAUAUAACAAAUAAAAGCUACAACUUUCCGCUACCAACUACCAGCUACACGCUAUCAGCUACCCGCUACCAGCUAACCGCUACCCGCUUCCAGCUAACAGCUACUUUUGCCAAACACGCCCAAAGUAUCAUUAUUUACACAACGCAUGGUAAGCUUUUUAAUCAGUUUACAAGAUUUAUAUUCCAUUUAUUUUGUAUCUUUUAAAAAAAAGAAAUUGAUAUAACUUAAAAUCACGCCUUAAUUAGAAUUACACAUCAAAAUCAUAAUAAUUGCAUGUUAAAUCAAACACAAAAUCAUUUCUUUUAAAUCAAAACCUCCAACCCAUGAUGCAUUUGCCAUUAACACAACUAACUAAUGUUUUAAAAACCGGUUUUUUAGUUGAACCGGUAUGACGAUCGGUUUCUGGUUUAACCGGUUCGACCGCCGGGUCAACCGGUUUCUAUGAUUUUUUUUUCUUAUUUUUCUGCACAUAUAUACGUACAUAAUUCAUGAAUUUAACGUCUACAAGUUUAAACAUUAAAAAUACACAUAAAAAUAAGUUGUAGAUCAAUAUAAAUACAUUAAAAUAACACAUAACUAUAAGUUUUUACAUCAAUUCACAUACAUCAAAAACAAAAUAAAAUAUAAUACAAAAACAAAAUAUAGUUUUAAAUGAAUACAAGUGCAUCAAAAAAACAUCAUAACAUUUACCAUAUGUUGUUUGAGAAAUCUAAAUAGAUUUGAAAAAGUUCACCAAUGUUUAUUAUUGAAAAUGGUUUUUUUCCAUGUAUUUUUAUUUAGUUUAACCGGUUUAUUUUGACCGGUUCAACCGGUUUUCUCUAAAAACCGGCCGGUUCAAUCCGGUUCAGAAAUUAGUGUAAAACCGGUGAUAGUUGAACUGCUCUCUUCUCCGGUUCCCGGUCCAACCGGUUCUUAAAACACUGCAACUAACAAACUUAAUCUGAAUAUAACAUACAAUAGCAAAAAAUUUCAAUUUCUAUGCCAAGAUGGUAUUCACUACAAGAAAAAACAUAAAUAUCUACGGAAUCAAAAUUCGUAGCUAUUAUAUUAUGGAAUAUAAUACAAAAUGAUUUGUGUAGCUAUUUUGCUACGGAAAUGACUUUCUAGCUAAAUUAGGAAUAGUUACAAAGAGUUGUUACAUAAUCAAAAUUCUUAGAUAUUCUACUACGAAAUAUGCUACAACGGCUAGUCGUAGCUAUUUUCUAUGGAAAUGGCUACGGAGUUGUAUCUACAAAGCUAAAUCUCGAAUUGUUGCUAUACAAUCAAAUUUUGUAUCUAUUUUACUACGCAAUAUGCUACGAGAUUGUUGGUUGUAGCUAGUUUCCUACGGAAGUUGUUACAUAAUCCAUUUUCGUAAUUAGUUGGCUAUAAAAUCGUUUACGUAAUCAAAAUCCGUAGUUAGUUGGCCACGGAAUUGAAAUCCAUAGCUAUUUUGCGUCAAAAAUUUGCUACAAAAUAAAAAUCUAUAGCUAAUUUGCUACGAAACUUUUUACGAAGAGGCUAAUCGUUCUUAUUUGCGUAUAUAAGUUGUUUUUGACUUUUUAAAAUAGCUAGGAAAUCUAAAUCUGUAGCUAUGUGGUUACCCAAUAUUAUUUAGUCAACUAGCUAUGGAAUAUAUUUUCGUACUAAAAUAUAAAAAAAAUAUUAUCAACAAAAAAUAAAUUAUUGUUUUUAAUCAUUAUUUUUAAUUAUAAGUUAAUUAUCAUUGAUAAAAACCUUUACAUAUUAUCAUAAUUUUUUUAUUUAUUCUUAUUUUCAUUAUUUGGGAGGAUAGAUUAAGAAUUGUCCCUAUAGUAUUGAGUAAUAUACAGCUUCAGUCCAAUAGAUUCGAAGGUUGUAGUUGAUGUACAAAAUAGUUUUGUGUAAAAGCAUGCCUAAUUUUAUAUACCGUCUACAUUAAUAUAUUAAUAUGUUAAGGGGAAAUCUUUAGAAAAAUUCUAAAAUUUUAGGACAAUUUAUUAAAAAGUCUCAAACUAAAUUUUGUUUAUAGAAAAGCACAAAUUACCGGCUAAAACUUCAAAAAAAACCCUUUUGUCCGGUUUUGUAGAUUUAGCCGGUAUUUUGUCCUUUUUCGUUAGUUUGUUCAAAAUAUUAGGAUUUUUUUGAAAAAUACUCAAUAACUAAAAUAUUAUGAGGUUUCUGAAAAAUACUAUGAAAUUAAUGGAUAUUAUUAUUAACAAAUCAUUUAUAAACAUAACAAUUUUUUUUUUAUUAUAAACAGAGAAAAUACAUUUGUUUCUAAUUUCUAGGAAUAGAAUGGUCGACUAGUUCUAUUGUUUCUUGACCACUUUAAACUCCUUAUGUUUCUCCUAUGUAUCGGUGUGAGUGUCAGCGAGAUGCACUAUGUACGUUUUCUUCAAUUAAAGACAGUAGUUGAUAAUAUUUAUUAAUACACAAUCAAUAAGUGUCUACUUUCGAUUAGGUGUGACGUUAUAGGAUCACAUGUUAUUAGCAAAUAUAAUUACAUAAUGAUUCUUGAACAUAUAGAUCUUUCAUUAUGUUCUUUAAUGUAAAUACCACCUAACCUUCAUACGUUAUUCGGUAACAACUAUCAAAUUACAAACAUAGUGAAAAAUAAAUUUUGAAUGACAAUUUAAAUAGAUAAUCACCCUACACUUUUUUCCAUAUAAAUUAUCAUUCACGAUUCACUUUUUCACAUUUGAUAGAUGUAUGUUAGCCUAUGGUUGUUAUCGUGUGAGGUGUGGAUGUAGGGUGAUAGUUAAGUUAAACAACAUAAGAGGAACACCAACAUUAGAGGAAUACUCACUGAGUACAUCCCACCAUCAUACCCACAACGAUGCAUAGGAGGAACAUAGAGAGUUUGAUGUGGUCAAUAAGCAAUAGAGGAGUACUUAGACUACCAAUUUAUUCAUAGAAAUUGACAACAAGUGUAUUUUCUUUUUUAUAAUAAAAAUAUUUGUUAUGUUUAUAAAUGAUUUGUUAAUAUGGUAAUUUUCGGAAAAGUCUCAAUAUUUUGGUUAUCAGUUAGUUUCCGGAAAAGUCCCAAAAUUUUAAGCAAACUAACGAAAAAAGACAGAAAACCGGCUAAGUCUACAAAACCGGCCGAAAGUGGUUUUUUUCGAAAUUUUAAUUGGUAUUCUUUGCUUUUCUGUAAACAAAAUUUAGUUUGAGACUUAAUCGUAAAUUGGACUAAAAUUUUGGGACUUUUUUUUUUGAGAUUUCUUUAUGUUAAGUAUCAUAAUUUACACUACACAUGGUAAGUUUUUUAAUCAGUUUACAACAUUUAUAUUCCAUUUAUUUUGUUUCUUUAAAAAAAAUUGAUAUAACUUAAAAUCACGCCUUAAUUAAAAUUAUACAUCAAAAUCAUAAUAAUUGCAUUUUCAAAUCAAACACAAAACCGUUGUUUUCUUAAAAUAAAAACCUCAAACUCAUGAUGCAUUUGCCAUUUACACAACUAAUAAACUUAAUCUUAAUAAAACAUACCAUAGCAAAAAAAUUCUGGUUUCUAUGCCAACGUGGCAUUAACUACAAAACAAACACUUAAAUAGCUAUGGAAUGAAAAUCCGUAACUAUUAUAUUACGGAAUAUGAUACAAAAUAACUUUUAUGCUAUUUUGCUAUCGAAAUGAUUUUGUAGCUAAAUUAGGAAUAGCUACAAAGAGUUGCUAGAUAAUCAAAAUUCGUAUAUAUUCUAUACUACGAAAUAUGCUACAUAAUUGCUAGUCGUAGCUUUUUUUAUACGAAAAUGGCUACGUAGUUGAAUUUCCAAAGCUAAAUCUUGAAUUGUUGUUACACAAUCAAAAUUUGUAUCUAUUUUACUACGCAAUAUGCUACGAGAUUGUUGGUUGUAGCUAGUUUCCUAUGAAAGUUGUUACAUAAUCCAUUUUCGUAAUUAGUUGGCUAUAAAAUCGUUUACGUAAUCAAAAUCUGUAGCUAGUUGGCUACAAAAUUGAAAUCCAUAGCUAUUUUGCGUCAAAAAUUUGCUACAAAAUAAAAAUCUAUAGCUAAUUUGCUACGAAACUUUUUACGAAGAGGCUAAUCAUUGUUAUUUGCGUAUAUAAGUUGUUUUUGAGUUUCUAAAAUAGCUACGAAAUCUAAAUCUGUAGCUAUGUGGUUACGGAAUAUUAUGUAAUCAAUUAGUAUGAAAUAAAUUUCCGUACUACAAUAUAUAAAAUAUUUUAUCAACAAAAAGUAAAUUAUUGUUUUCAAUCAUUAUUUUUAAUUAUAAUUUAAUUAUCAUUGAUGAAAACCUUUACAUAUUAUCAUAAUUUUUUUAUUUAUACUUAUUUUCAUUAUUUUGUUAUAUCUUAUUUUAAUAGGGAUAGGCUUUGCAAUUCAAUAGGGCAAGUGUAUAAGUGCAUGUUUUCCUUUUUAUUUAAUCCAAAUUGCAAAGCGGUUCAUCAAGUUAUACAAUGAGGUUAAAAUAGUCCAUAGUUUCGACGGAGUUCUAACGAUCGUCGAAUGCUACCGACAUUACACAGAUCUCCGGUGAUGUAAUUAGCCAAAACUUGUUCAACAAUAAUAUAUCUAUUUGGCUUCUACGGAUGACCUUCCCGAUGAUUUCGGCGGCAAGAUGAGGUCUCGACCACAAAUAAAAUGCAGAAAGUUGGAGUAAUGAGGGAAAGCGAGUUAGAUAACUAAAUUUGCAAGAAUCUAACGAGACGGUGGCCGGUUUUUUGCUUACUGAUGCAACAAUGCUACUUCUUGUUUUUAAGGCUUCAGAACUUGGCUGGAGAUCGAGUAUGAUCGAAUCGAAAAUUAGUACUCAUGAAAAAACCAAAUGUAGUAGUAUCCCGACUAAUAAAUUGAAGGGAAACUUAAAUCGUCUCGAUGUUCCAUGCAAGUCAAUCACAAUAUCUGCUAGCGUUUGAAUUGUACACACUUAUGUUUUGUUCUUGGAGAAAAGUUUGAUUGAUUUUAUUGAAGUACAAGUUGUUACCCGCUUUGGUUCGAUUGGUAAAAGGCUAAACUUUUGUCUAAAUUAGUGAUACGGACACUCGAUGGUAAAAAUCGUAACACCUUGUUCCAAAUCGUUUCCUAAUGUGGGGUGGUAACCCGAAGACCGAGCAUCAUCAGGUUUAGGGCCUGUGAAGAAAAGAGAUUUACACCCAUUUGUGUGUGGGUAAUGUAAUUUGGAUAAUCCGGGAGUUAGGUUUGUAUUUUGGAGCCAAGGGGUAUUUCGGUAAAGUGUCAGUCCAGGCUUUACAAAAAAUGGAUUUUUGUUCAUGAAGUUUUAAGGCAAGUAUGAGUUGACAAAAGUUUAAUGCUUCUCGUUACCUCUUCGUGGAUAUAAGGAUCGUCAAAACGGACUUAUAACCAAGAAGUUAUAGCCUUUAAAAGAUUCAUGGUUUUAGGGUUUAACUAGGUACACGGGGUGUACACAUGUGUACGCAUGACAUACUAGUGCUAAGACCAGUAUGUCGGGCAUACAUUGGCGUACAUUGGGCGUACUAAGCAAAGUGAUCGUGGAGCCUUAAGGGAGUACACUGGGUGUGCCAGAAGUACGUUGGAUGUACUCUAGUCAGACCUAAACCCUAAUUUAGGGUCUUGGACCCUAUUUAAGCUCCUUAACUCACCACCAAACCCUGUUAUCUUCAACCUCCAUCCCUCUUAACCCUAGAAACGAUACCCUAACCCCAUCUGAGUGGAUUUUGAGCUUUUGGUGGUAUUUCAUGCUUGUUAGUGUUCAUAGAAGAAGAAGGAACUUCUUGGACAAGUGUGGGAUUGCUUGAAGCUUUUGGAUCUAGGCUUGUUGCAUCUUGAUCUACAUUUUGGAGGUAUAAUGUUUCUAUCUUGUUGAAUCUAGGUGUUAGAUCUAGUUUAGGGGGUAUUUUGGGUUCAUUUUGGUCCUUAGAGUCAUCCUUGUGAGUAUGAGCUACUCCAAGAACUUAGAAUGAUGGAUCUUGGCCUUUUGGAGGUCCCUUGUUCAUAAAAAUGCCAUCUUGAUAAAUUAUCUUGGACCAUGCAUGAGUUUGGAUGUUUAUUAUCGGUGUUAUUAAGAUUUGGUCCCAUUAAGCCAUGCAAAGGAGUAAAUUUGCCAACUUUACGUGUUAAGACAUUUCAUUAGGGCCAUAUCUGAGUUUGGAUGUCAUUGGCUUAACCAUUAAGAGAUUAAUAUGGAUUUUUGGUCCCUGAUGACUACAUUGGGCAUACGCAAGAAGUACGCUCAACAUAAUGGAGGUUUUGUACAUCAACCGCUUGUACUAUGUUCUUCGAGGGUGAGUACAUGGUGCAUACCAUUCUGGUAUGCGAGGCGUACUCCCCAAUUUUCUAUUUUGGGCUUUUUGAGAUUUAGGCCUUGUUGGGCCAUUGGACUUUAGACUUUUAGCCAUGGAUGGACUUAGGGUUUUCUUGGAAGUAGGAUUGAACUCUGUUAACUGUUUUCUUAUAAAAGUACUUCUAAAUAUUUGGAUAAGUAGAUAUUGAAUGUUGACUUAAAGAUAAUUAAUGUUUGGUAGAAUUAAAAAUGAAAUUUUUACCUCAAAAUUUUGGGUCGUUAGAAGUUGGUAUCAGAGCCAUGGUUUGAUGGAUUCAGGUACACUUUCGGGUGUGACUGAACUCAAACUGAGGAAUUCGUAAUUUUUCUUAAAAAGAAAACAAGUUUCUAAAACGAUUUUUGUAAAAGAAAAGAAAUUUCUAAAAGGAUUUUGUAAAGACAAAGGGGGUGUGAUGCGUGCAAUCGUCCGAGCUCAAGUAAGUGAUUCUCGGAAAAUCCAUUCAUGUUUGUUAUGAUUAUAUGUUAUGAGAAUUGCAUGUGAGGAUGAGGCUAGGGAUACUUUCAGGAAUUGCAUGAUAAAUUGGCCUGAUAUGUGAUACCUUGUAGCCUAGGAAGCAUUGGAUGCUAUGCUAGAUUGGGAAUAUGUAUUGGUACCAGUAAUUGCUAAGUGUAUGCUUUAAAAUUUGUAUACGAUUAGGAUCAUAUAGCCCUAGAGUGAUCGAUUUGGCCUUAUUUCAUGUUCCUUGUUUUUUUGUGGUCCUAGGGUAAUCUUUUAUUCAACAAUCUAUUUGAUUCUGCAUUGUGUAUAAUUUGUGUGAAUAAGGCAACUGACAGUGAGAAUGGAAGUUCCUAGCGUGAGUUGUAGUUUGUGAGCUUAAAUGUUCUUUGGUUAUUAUAUAGGUUAGAGUGCUACUACACGAAUGCUUCUUGCUUUGUGCUUUGUGAAACUCUUAAGUUAUGUGAGAUAACUAUUAAAUGAAUAUGUUAAGUCACAUAUGACAAAGGUUGAAUAAUCUCAGAGUGAUGGAUUUGACCCUAUUGUACAGCUCUUGUUUGAGUCUAACUGUUGUAGGGAUGACUCUUUUACUCGAAGGAUUAUUUGAGAUUUGUUUCAUGUGAUUAUAUUCAUGAGGUAGUUAACUGACAUUAUGGGGAGUUCUUCAGCACUUGAUGGCAGGGUGAGGUCGGAAACCUAGGAAAUCCUCGGAAAUGCUUCAGUGGGUUUUGUUGUGCUAUUUAGCGAGUGCUUAGGAUAUCAAUUUGAGAAGGUGACUUAGAGGAUUCGGGAUAAUUCAUGAGGAAAGUAUGGAUAGGUUUGGAAGGUAGUAUUGGGCCCGUACUACUGAAAGCACAUGAUCCAUACUCGAACUGUGAAGAGUUUUGGAAAAUCUAGGAAGCCUGCCUGAUGAGGAUUCUUGGGUAUGUUCUAAUCUUUUGCAUGUUGUUUUUUUUUUCAGUAUGGCAAUGAGCACACACGAAGGAGGAUCAACUUCUAGUUCCGGCUCAGGUGCAGGUUCUAAGCCGAUUGACGAGUGGAUGUGGGAGUUCAUCUCAUCAGAGAUUACCCGCGGUAUUUUGGAGCAAACUCCUAUAAUAUUUGGUUCGGUCAAGAAGGGGAUUUUUGGAUAUUUUGGAUGAGCGUCUGGGCCCAUUCCGCACUGAGGUUAUGGCUAUUUUUGGAGCUCACACUCUGUCUUUCCGUAAGUUCCGUGCUUGUGGAGCUCCCGCGUUCUUUGGGGAUAAGGACCCCAUUGCUAGUAGGAGAUGGUUAGAAGAUAUGGUUAACGCCUUCAAGAUGAGGUUCUGUCCCGAGGAGUCGAAGGUCAAAUUUGCCUUCUAUCUUCUAAAGGACUGAGUUCAUGAUUGGUGGGAGGAGGUAGACUUCGCUUUGGGAGGCGAAGCCCUAGAGAUGAUGACAUAGGAUGAGUUUGUGACCUGAUUUAGGGCAGAGUUUUCACCAACUAUUGAGGUACAACAAUUGGUGAGGGAGUUUCAAUACCUUCGCCAGACGACUGAGACUGUGGCAGAGAUCACUGCCAAGUUUCGGGGAGAGGGAUUUGUUGGUUCCGCAUUAUGAUGUGGACGAGGAAAUGAAGAAGGUAAGGUAUCAUGACAUGUUGAAAGAUGACAUCCAGGAGUUUUGAGUUUAUCAGGGUGCGAGACCCUAACUGAUAUGAUUGCUAGAGCAUGAAAACGUGAGAUUGAUUUGGAGCCUUUCGAGAAGAGGAAGCCAAAGUAGACUGAGAUUUCAGUAAGCCAGGUAAAGAGGCAUAAGACUUAGGAUUUGGUAGGCCAUUAGGGUCGGGGUUGGGGCCGGUACGCCCAGUGUGGGAAGACUCAUUAGGGAGGAUGUUAGGAGACAAGCCGAGGAUGUUACAAUUGUGGUCAGAUGGGUCAUUUUAGUCGGGAUUUAUGUCGUGGGUUGGAUCCAACGUGUUUUCACUGCAAUCAGGUGGGCCACAAGAAGGCCGACUAUCCGAUGUUGAGGGGCUGAGCAGCGAGUGCACCUGUUCCAGUUACUUUGAGGAUCAUUGACGGUCGUGAGGGUAAGGAAAGAGCCCUAGUAGCGAGGAGCCGAGCAUUGCAGUGUCAGUCAGGGGAGGCCAGGGUUUGAUCAGGUACUAUUGUGGGUAUGUAAUCUAAGAUUUCUUCUUGCUUAUUAUCAAUAUUUAUAUUGCUUUGGAAUCUUGUAAUGGUUUGGCUAAGCAUUAUCUUUGGUUUAGUUCUCUGUUAUUUCUUGGGUUAUAUCAUCAAGAAUUGUUAUAUGCCAUUUUGAAUGCCAAGAGUCAUUAGUGGUUCGUCUUGCUAAGCAAGUUUCAGUUUGUUCGGUUGUUGUUCCGAUUCUAUGAUGGGGUCAAUUCAGGGGUAUUGUUAGGAAGGUCUAUGGUUGGAUUAGCUAUUUAGUUCUCCAGUGAAGUCAUAGUUCAGUCGUGUUAGCAUUUGAUCGGGUAAGAUCGCCAGUCGUCUAGGGAAGAACCUUUGGUCCAAUCACUGCCGUUGUUAGGGGAGGAGCGGUAGCAAGAAGAUGCCGGUGGCACUCUCCAGAGUCGUUUGGUCACUGGAAGUGCCAGGGUAAUUUUAUAAUCACAAGGGUUGAAGAUGGUUCAAAUUUGGAGAUCCUUCUGAGGAUGGGAAGUCGGAGUGAAGAUUCACCAAUUCAUAGCAAGGGUUAGGGUCUUUGUCACCAACAUAAAGGACUCAAGGAUUUUGUGCGGUACCAUGGGAAGAUAUCAGGAUUAUCAGGCUUGUGAGAUUUCGGGGACUUUUCUUCUUGAUUUAAGAGUUGUGUGGUCAUCAAAAUUGGAUAGUAAUGGAACGCUGGCAUUUGUAAACUCAUGUUGUCAUUAGUCUAAGUCGUAAGGCUGUGAGAUGGAUUGGAAAUUCAUCAAAUCUUAAGGAUUACAAAAGCGCAGUCGAAUCCAAGUGGGGGAGAAUCUUUUGGUCUAAGGGAUUGAACAAGAAAGGAUAUUUGUGUUUCGUUGCACAUCAGUAGUGACGCGCAGUGGGUAUGUGGUAGAUCCUGGUUGAGGGUUGUGUUAGAGCAUCGCCGCCUAUUCUUGUUUGAUGAAGACUUUAGGGUUCGAAGCAUGACCCGAACACCUGAUUAGGAUUUAGUCAGAUGCAAGUUCGACUCAAGAUGAUUGUGGUUGAUAUGGUAGAGGUGUGGUAAGACCAUGGGGCAUUCGAGAUGACCCUGGACGCAGUAGAGGAUAGAACAGAUAACGCUAGGGGGGACCAAGUGAAGGAAGAUGUUUACCCAGAUUUUACGACACUAAGUGGUCAUUCCACAUAAAUAGUAUUGUAGUAUAUAGCCUAAUAUAAGAGGCAUUAUGUAUGGUAAACUCGAACAAGUAUUUUAAUCGUUUUCAAAAGUUAUAUAAAGAUCCCUAGUCGUGUUAUACUAAUCAAUGUGAUUAGUUGCUGUGUGAUAAUUUCCAUGUAUGGAGGCUUGGAAAAUUGUGAGAUAAUUUUUGUGAUGAGUAUGAGUAGGUGUGAAAGGUAGUAUGGUCCUGUACUAUCAGAACCACAAGACUUGUACUUCGAUCAGGAGGAGUCACAAGGCUACUAAGGCACUGGUAAUUGAGUUUAUUUUUUAAAAUUUCUUCAUUACCUUCGUUUCAGUGAUGAAUAGGAAGAAGAUUCCUAAUCGAACCCUGUUAACUGUAAAGGAUUGAAUCUGAUUGAUAUCCACAAAGUCAGUUACCCGGUUUUGAGAACCAUAUUCGACAUAGUGUCUGAAUUUAAUUUUAAGGUUGAAGAAGGAGAUGAUUGAGGAAAUCGACAUACAAAUUGUAGUCGUGGUUAAAACUAAGUAGCUAGUAGCUAGUAAUGUCACCUAUAAUAAUGUGGUUGUACCACAUUAGAACAUGAAGGAACGUAUCCUCUAUGCUAGAGUGUGACUCAAAGAGACAUGAGUCUAUCCAUUGCAUCAUAUGAUGAAAGGUCAUUAGAGCAUAGUCCAUCAGUCUGUUAUGGAAGUCGAAGUGAAGACAUUAUCUUACGUUAAGUGUGUUCUAGAAGGAGCAGGAGUAUCCAAUAAAUAAUGAUUUUAGAAGGAAGAUCAUGUUCAGGGUUAAGCACCGCCAACAGUUGAGAAGCCUAAGAGUUAGAAAAUCAUUUGAAAAGACAUAAGAGUUACAACUAUUGUCUAGGAUGGAAAGAUAACUUAUGGAGUCAUUAUACAAGCCAUGUUUUGCUAAUGAUUUCGGGACAUAAUCAUCCUGAAGUAGGAUAUAAUUGUAAUGCCCACAAAUUUGGGUUAGACAAAUAAGAUAUAAUAAGCGAUAAAAAACGACUUGUUGACAGAAUAUUAUUUAGGAUAAAUAAUAUUAAGCGAAGUUAUAGUAUAUGUGACAACGAUUUUGUAUAUAUAAAGAAAGUUGGAAUCUAACUUGUAUGAAGAAGUUAUGCUUCUUCAAAUUUUUGUGAUUAAACCGAAACGAGUUUUUGUAUCGUAAAAAAACGAAUUUUUGAUCGAUAACUUAUUAGACUAAGUGAUAUAAUCUAAAAUCAUAGUAGUCCUCAAACCUACAACAUGCAUAUAAAGAACGUCCAAAUCUGACUUUGUGAGAAAAACUUAUAAUUUUUUGAAGAUUCAGCGUAUCAAUAUACAACUCAGAAACUGAAUUAAAAUCAGUCAAUUUUUAGGAAAAACAUUCUAAACGAAAGUUGAAGAUCUGAUCAAUACAUAUCCGUCGAUAUAAAGACAUUCGAGAACGUACGUCAGAAAAGAGAGUUAUGAAUUUUUAGCGGACUUUAACAGUCUAAAGCUGUUAAAAAUAUAACUUUAAAAAUAAAUUCAAAUUAGCCGAUUGGGUCUAAAUGAAUGUUGUAUACGAAUCUGACUAACCACCCAAAUGUCGCUACGCGUCAGACUAGGAAUCUGCCACAUUACCUCUUCUAACACUGUGUAUAAUACGUAUGGGACAUGGUGUGCGACACGCAUCCUUCCCAUACGUAUAAAUUCGUCGCUUUCAAUCUCAUUUUCUCACAAAUCAAACCCAGAUCUCUCUGGUCUUCUUUCACACUUUGACUCCCAAUUUUUCCGGGCUUCUGAACUUUUUUGGAAGGUUGUGGAGUAGCCACGAGCCUGACGAAAAGAAGUAUUUGGGUCAAGAUUAUGUCCUCGCAAUUUCCUGGUUUUCACUAAAAUCUGUAUAAGUUAAGCUAUACUUAUUUUAUUUCAAGUGUAACUUAUAUUUGUGUUCAUAGUCAUUAUUAUGAACCUAUAAAUAAGAUUUAUCAAUAAUUCCAAGUCAUUAUACUGAUUGAUCUACUUAUCGGGAUGAGGUCUAGGCUGGAUUUAGUGAGGUGUUUAAAGUGAGAUUUUCAAACAGUAUAUUUUGUAUGCCACACAGACGCUACAUUCGAUAUGAUCGUACAUGGUUCUUCCUUAAUUGAUAGAUCUUCAUGUAAACAUUAGGAUUAGUGAGGAAUCCAGGCUAUCAUUAGUCGCCAGGAAAUAAGACUAAGAAUUAGUAAUAUGAACCUAGGUCACGUCAGAGGAAAAAUUGAAAUACAAAGGCGAAGUUCUGCCCAAAUUCUAAGGCAUCCACUUUUACUAAGUGAGUGCAUAGUUACUUUCAAAUUACACAUAGAUACAAGUAUUCUAAAUGCUUAAAUGUUAUGUGUGUUAUUUUUCGUGUGUUUAAUAUAUAUGUACAAUAUGAUAUGAUCGUUACUUAAUCUAAUCGUAUAUUAUACUUACUGAUAUGUUUGGGUAGUAAAGGGUUGUAUGAAAUAACAAACGAGAUGUCAGGAUAGGGCUGUGUGAGAUAGUGGUUGUGAUAGGUUAAGUGAAAGUUGUGCAAAGUAAUAAGUCAUUACUUGCCGUGUCUACUCAAAGUACUAUUGUACUGUCGUGCUUACCCAAAGUACUAUCGUAUUGUCGUGCCUAACCAAAUUACUAUUUGUACUUCGUUUUGUGUACAAAAUAUUAUAUUACUGUCGUGCCUAAUCAUUUAGGGAAAUAUAGAUGACUGUUGUCAAAGAUCCUUUAGAAAAGAUCUAUCAAGAUCAUUAAUCUAGGAUUAGGAAACAAGAAUAACGGGAAUAGUGUAAUUGGGUUAUUAAAAUGUUGAAGAUUAUAUAAUGAAAGAUUAUAAUAUUGUGGGUUGAAAGCAUUAUAUGCUUAUCAGGUUUCCCAACCUAACCCUCUCAGUUCCAUUGUAUCACAAGUAGCGAUACGAAGGUACUAAAAAAUAAUGUAAUAUCUACUGAGAGGUUUAAAGGAGCUCGUAGGCUGCUAGAAUAUUGAUGUAAGAGCUGUUGAUUCUUAUGUCAUAAGGUUCCAAUGUCACUGUUUUCGGAUUGGAAUGUUUGUUUCACUUCCAAAAUUUGGAAGAUGUUUCAUGAGGCAUUAGAUACUCAGUUAUAUUUUAGUACGGUUUUACCACCCACAGAUUGACGGAUAGAGUGAGUGAAUGAUUCAGCCACUCGGGGACAUUUUUCGUGCAUGUGUAUUGGAUUUUGGUGGGAGUUGGGAUACGUAUCUCCUAUUAGUCGAGUUCUCGUAUAACAACAACUACCACGCCAACAUUGAUCGACCUCCUUUCACGAUGCUUUACUGUAGGAAGUUUCGAACACCGAUAUGUUGGGUGAGGUCCAUCUAGAGCUUGGGAAGGAUCAGAUCUGAGCAUUGGAGCUCUUGGAAUUGGGAGGAAAAAAGCUUAACUCCUUAAGUUGUUCAGACCUAGUUCCUACGACGUGGUGACUGGGCAUCAACCCAUUUGUUUUACCUUUACACGACCGCAAGGCGGCUAAAGGAAGGCCACGACAUGGAGGCUUGCUGAUGAUUAAUUAUUGACUUUGACUUGGUCGUUAACUGUUGACUUUGACCUAGCUUGACUUUUGGGUCAAAUUGCAAGUUUAAAAGGUGAAUUAAGGUUUCAUUUUGAAUAAUUGAUUAGGUGGCGUUUAGCACCCGUUCAUCGUGUGUAUGUGUAUGAGUUGUUGGAUUUUGACUACCUUCGCAAUGUGAGUUUUCUCACUAUAAUGUAGGUUGUUGGACUUUCUUUGUGACUCUUGCAUGUUUACGUAUGUUUAUUGGGUUAGGGCCGAUUAUAUGGGUUGGGCUUGAAUUUGUAGGUUGGGCUUGGAAACAUGUAUGCUGGGAUGAGCCCUUUCUUAUAUAGUAUAUGAUAUUUUGGGGAAUUCAAUGAGCUUUGUGCUAUGUUUGCUGUUUACAUGCUACAAAUACUUCCAGUUCGAAAGAGAAGAGCUCGGCAUGAUCGCAUUACAUACCCCAAAGUUUAUUCUACAUUAUCUUUCAGAUUUGUCAUUGAUAUUUUGAGGAUACAUUACAAUACUAUGAUUGUCUUUUUAUUCGAAUGAUUGGAUUUGGGCUUGGUUAAUUAAAAAUAUAAUUUUUACUGAUUAUUUUCGGGUUGAUACAAACGAUCAUUUCCCCAAAUCAUUAAUAGGUUAGGUUGGAUAAUUGCUUCACUUUAUGAUCGUCACUUUUGUCAAUAUCCAUGUAUAUUAUAUUGGUACAUAGGGAAUAUGUAUUUUAAGUAACUUAAAUUUGGCUGUUAAUGUAUUUAUUUGUUAAGUAAAUUAAAAUUAUUUAUUUCUUUAUUGUUGAAACAUGCCUGUAUUGUUUUUGAAUUAUUUACAUACCUUUGUUACAUGCUGAUAGUUAUAAAAUAUAUUUGAUAUUCUAUAUCAAAGUCAAUAUUAUAUUUUCCUAGAUGGUAUUAAUGUCGCCUCAACUUGAUAACAAAUAUUUUCUAUUUAGUUUUUGUUCUCAAAUAAGUAAGUAAGUUAGAGACUUGUAAAUUUAAAUCAUGAAUUUGAUAUUGUUAUAAUCUAUCAUCUCUUAGGGGGCACGGCGUGGGCAACUCCCACCUUUUGUUUUUGAGUAAAUAUCUCAAGACCAAUUUUAAGGUCUACCAAUUUGUCUUUAAAUUAUUUAAACCCACCAUAUUAAUAUAAAAGCGUUAGACAAAUGGGGUAGGGGCUAUGCACCUUCCUACGCCCUAAAAAUAUCAAUGUUUCAUUAUUCAUGAUUUAAUAAUUUAAAUACAUUAAAGCAUGAUAGUACUUGGAUCGUGGUUUUUCCAUAUCUACUUUGAGAAUAUAUUAUAUAUAAAAAGGGGAUUUUUACCAAAAUCGGAACUCGUUUUUUAACAUGUCUAACCCAAUAAUUUUAUAGAAUUCAUAUUUCUUUUUUACAAUGCAAAUGUGUUGCAUACUAUAUGUAUCUCAUUGGCUAGUCUACAAAAAUCAACUAGUCAUGAGGGAAAAUGAAUCAACAAUCUAUCUUAAAUUUAAAAGUAAUAAAUUAAUCUAGAAGCUCCAUAAAGACUCGUCAACAAAAAAUUCGACGUUAUCCUCAUAACUGCCAUAUCCCACCGUCUGCGGAGGCGCUACCAUCAGUCCCUCCGCCAUGCUGACAAAAAAUUCCGGCAUCUCAAAAAUAUCUUCUUCAUCCACGUAAUACAAAAUUUCCGGCAACUCCUUCGUAUCCACAAUCUCCACCUCUUCCUCCGAGUAUCUAAAAGCCUCCGCAGCUUCGGCAGCGGCCUUUUGUAUAUCUACAAUACUGCUAGACUUCGGGACCGGCAGCCGCCACACAGAAUCAACAAAAUUCAAACAAGCCCGUCGUCCCCUGAAGGCAAACGCCGCCACAUCAUGUGCUCUUGCUGCCAUUAUAGCUGUAGGAUGAGUCCCUAACCACACCCUCAUGUUCUUGUUCGGUUCUCUUAACUCACAAACCCACUUCCCGUUAUCCCUCAUUCUCACUCCUCGGUAAACCGGGUGUCGAGUCUCUCUAAACUUCUUCCUUCCGGCCUUCUUCUUCGGGUUUCGUGAAGCCAACAUCACUUCGGAUUCAGCAGCCGCAUUCAAGACUGAGCUUUUGCUACGACAUGAGGUCAAAAAGUGUGCUAAUGGAACACUUUCCGAUGAUACUGCUGGAAAUGGGUUGUAAGAUUCGAUAAAGGUAUCCAUACGUUGGUAGUGUGACAAAUAUAUGUGGUGAAUUUACGGUUGUUGGUAGUUUUUGCUAGUUAGCUAU